rnacentral:rRNA from 1 species
GACGAACGCUGGCGGCGUGCCUAAUACAUGCAAGUCGAACGCACUCUCGUUUAGAUUGAAGGAGCUUGCUCCUGAUUGAUAAACAUUUGAGUGAGUGGCGGACGGGUGAGUAACACGUGGGUAACCUGCCCUAAAGUGGGGGAUAACAUUUGGAAACAGAUGCUAAUACCGCAUAAAACCUAACACCGCAUGGUGUAGGGUUGAAAGAUGGUUUCGGCUAUCACUUUAGGAUGGACCCGCGGUGCAUUAGUUAGUUGGUGAGGUAAAGGCUCACCAAGACCGUGAUGCAUAGCCGACCUGAGAGGGUAAUCGGCCACACUGGGACUGAGACACGGCCCAGACUCCUACGGGAGGCAGCAGUAGGGAAUCUUCCACAAUGGACGAAAGUCUGAUGGAGCAACGCCGCGUGAGUGAAGAAGGUUUUCGGAUCGUAAAACUCUAGUUGUUGGAGAAGGAAUGUAUCUGAUAGUAACUGAUCAGGUAGUGACGGUAUCCAACCAGAGAG